rnacentral:rRNA from 1 species
UUAUGCUUAACACAUGCAAGUCGAACGGUAACAGGUCCUUCGGGAUGCUGACGAGCGGCGGACGGGUGAGUAAUGCAUAGGAAUCUGCCCGAUAGUGGGGGAUAGCCUGGGGAAACCCAGGCUAAUACCGCAUACGUCCUACGGGAGAAAGGGGGCUUCGGCUCCCGCUAUUAGAUGAGCCUAUGUCGGAUUAGCUAGUUGGUGAGGUAACGGCUCACCAAGGCAACGAUCCGUAGCUGGUCUGAGAGGAUGAUCAGCCACAUCGGGACUGAGACACGGCCCGAACUCCUACGGGAGGCAGCAGUGGGGAAUAUUGGACAAUGGGGGCAACCCUGAUCCAGCCAUGCCGCGUGUGUGAAGAAGGCCUUCGGGUUGUAAAGCACUUUCAGCGAGGAAGAACGCCUAGUGGUUAAUACCCCUUAGGAAAGACAUCACUCGCAGAAGAAGCACCGGCUAACUCCGUGCCAGCAGCCGCGGUAAUACGGAGGGUGCAAGCGUUAACCGGAAUUACUGGGCGUAAAGCGCGCGUAGGUGGCUUGAUAAGCCGGUUGUGAAAGCCCCGGGCUCAACCUGGGAACGGCAUCCGGAACUGUCAGGCUAGAGUGCAGGAGAGGAAGGUAGAAUUCCC